UUGUUAUUGAUUUUGUAAAUAUGAUAUUAUAAGAAACUAAUUUCAAAUUCUUACCGAAUUUAAACUAUUGCAUUGUUCAAUUGGAUUUUUAUAGCCAGUUUUUAAUUCAUCAAAUGCAAUAACCUGAAAAGUAUAAUGUCUUUAGCUAGUCAUUUAACUUUUCAUCUAUAUCGCUAAGACAUUAUAGUUUCGAAGAAGUACGUACAUGAAAUAUUGCAAAAAUGAUUAAAAAAGCAUCUACAAUUAAAGCCACGAUAUAUGAAAAAGCGGCUAAACUGAACGCCAUUGUAAUAACUGUACGUGAUGCUAGUAAUAAGUUGAUUCAAGUGACAUAAUUUGACUUACAAAUGAAGAAUUGCAUUUUAAGUAAAUAUAUUUAUAUAUAUAUGGUAUAACUUAUUUCUGAUAUUACUUCCUUUAUUUUCACAUUUUCCAAUGUGAUGCAGUAAAUACGUUGCCAUUGUGGAAUGUUUUCGUGUCAGUUUAUACGUAUUUAUGUCGAAUCUAUAGAUGGAAUGCAACUUGAGAUUCAAUGUAAUGCUCAGAAUGCAAUUUUAUCAAAAUAACUAGAAUUUUUAACAAAAGUUGUUAAAAAGAGAUGGUUUUGUAUAUUUAUAACAUAUAUGACAGAUUUGACAAUAAAUUCUAUAUGACUUUUAUGACA